GACGAACGCUGGCGGCGUGCCUAAUACAUGCAAGUAGAACGCACAGACUAUAAGCUAGCUCGCUUCACCAUAGACUGUGACGUGCGAAUGGGUGAGUGAUGCGUAGGUAAUCUGACUGGUAGCGGGGCGUAACUAUUGGUAACGUUAGCUAAUAUCGCAUAAUCUUCAUUAUUCCAUGAUUAUUAAUUGAUUGGUGGAAUCGCAUCACUACCACCUGGCCCUGCGUUGUAUUAGCUAGUAGGUCAGGUAACGGCUCACCAAGGCGACGAUACAUAGCCGACCUGAGAGGGUGAUCGGCCACACUGGGACUGAGACACGGCCCAGACUCCUACGGGAGGCAGCAGUAGGGAAUCUUCGGCAAUGGGCGAAAGUCUGACCGAGCAACGCCGCGUGAGUGAAGAAGGUUUUCGGAUCGUAAAGCUCUGUUGUAAGAGAAGAACGGGUGUGAGAGUGGAAAGUGCAGUCUGGGAGGGAAUCUAACAAGAAAGGGACGGCAAACUAGGU
rnacentral:rRNA from 1 species